rfam:Camelus ferus unplaced genomic scaffold scaffold1437, whole genome shotgun sequence.
GAGGGUGUAGCUCAGUGGUAGAGCACGUGUUUAGCAUGCAUGAGGUCCAGGGUUCAAUCUCCAGUAUCUCCG